UUUCAAAAAGGUGCUGGAAGGCACACAUCUUUCACAAGGCUUGCUGAGAAAUAAUAACAGCAGAAUUGUUGUGAUUGCAUGUAGCUGCUAUAUCUGUGAAACAGCUGGACCUUCUGGCAUCCUGAUUCCCAUUUUCUGGACAGAGAGACAGGGUACUGGAAGGAGACAGAACCCAGACUGGUAUCAGGAAAUAUGCUCCUGGGGGACUAUUCACCAAGACUUGUUAUGCAACUCAUUACUGAGACUCCAACCUUGCAAACAUCUAAUUUUGAGCAUGUGAGUAGUAUCUUGGAGUUCAAGAAGGGCAACAAAAGUGACCAGAGACAUCUGACCCCAAUUUAAACCUUAAUCCCAUGAAGACUUUUGAAUAUGAAAUCAAUAUGACUAUUCACACAGCUAAACAUAGGAAUGUGAACUCUUUACAAGGUUGGGACCUACUAGAAUAGGCUCUUUUAAUUUCAUUUAGUGCAGGAAUUCCACAUUUCAAACAAUUUUGUUGUUCUUGUAACCUUGCAUAUUAUUGUUUUGAUGUUUGGGGAAGAUGAUUAUCUCAGGGGUUUCAGCAGGACCAAACGUGUUUGGCUGAACUUGCCAAUAUCUGCCUAUAACAUCCUGUUAGAAAACAGAAUUUCCACAGUCCUGCAAGCUGUAACUAUCUGCUAAUAUUAUGCUGCAUUCACUUGAUCAUUGCAUCUUCACAGAACUCGGGCUUCUAGUGGAGAAUAGUCCCCUACCGGCUUGUGCUGUGAAGUAUUAUCUCCACAUGUAUCAUUAAUUUUCUUUUCAUAGUAUUAGGCCUCAUUAAUCCAUUCCUAGUUGCCUUGUAUUUAAAAAUAGAAGUUAUUAAAGUAGAUUUCUCUUAACUGCUUAGUAAAUAAACUAUAUAGGUAA